UAAUUAAUAAUUAUUCCAAAGACAGUAGGUGCUCAAAAGAGUUUAAAUUUGCCUACCGAGGAUAAUCCGGACGUAUAUUUACAUUGCCGAUUCAUCUUGCUCUUUGGGGUAAUUUGAAACCGGCGAUUUUUUU
rnacentral:sRNA from 1 species